rnacentral:rRNA from 1 species
UACGGGGGGGGCAAGCGUUGUUCGGAAUUACUGGGCGUAAAGGGCUCGUAGGUGGCCAACUAAGUCGGACGUGAAAUCCCUCAGCUUAACUGGGGAACUGCGUCCGAUACUGGAUGGCUUGAGUUUGGGAGAGGGAUGCGGAAUUCCAGGUGUAGCGGUGAAAUGCGUAGAUAUCAGGAGGAACACCGGUGGCGAAGGCGGUUCUCUGGGAAUGUCCUGACGCUGAGGAGCGAAAGUGUGGGGAGCGAACAGG